CAGAGGUCCCAAGCGUUGUUCGGAUUCACUGGGCGUAAAGGGUGCGUAGGCGGUCGGGUAAGUCUGAUGUGAAAUCUCAGAGCUCAACUCUGAAACUGCAUUGGAUACUAUUCGGCUUGAGGUCUGGAGGGGGGACUGGAAUUCUCGGUGUAGCAGUGAAAUGCGUAGAUAUCGAGAGGAACACCAGUGGCGAAGGCGAGUCCCUGGACAGGUCCUGACGCUGAGGCACGAAAGCUAGGGGAGCAAACAGGAUUAGGUACCCUGGUAGUCCUAGCCGUAAACGGUGCGUAUUUGCUGUAAAAGGAAUCGACCCCUUUUGUGGCGUAGCAAACGCGUUAAAUACGCCGCCUGGGAAGUACGGUCGCAAGAUUA
rnacentral:rRNA from 1 species